rnacentral:rRNA from 1 species
GCGAAAGCAUUUGCCAAGAAUGUUUUCAUUAAUCAAGAACGAAAGUCAGAGGUGCGAAGGCGAUCAGAUACCGCCGUAGUUCUGACCGUAAACGAUGCCGACUGGCAAUUGGGCGCACUUCUGCCGAAGUUGCGGCCAGCAGUAUUCUACCCGGGAAACCAAAGUCACUGGGCUCCGGGGGGAGUAUGGUUGCAAAGCUGAAACUUAAAGGAAUUGACGGAAGGGCACCACCAGGAGUGGAGCCUGCGGCUUAAUUUGACUCAACACGGGAAACCUCACCCGGCCCGAACACUGUUAUGACAGACAGGUUGAGACGUCUUUCUCGAUUCAGUGGUUGGUGGUGCAUGGCCGUUCUUAGUUCGUGGAGCGAUCUGUCUGGUUAAUUCCGAUAACGAACGAGACUCUUGCCUGCUAAAUAGACGGCGCCGACGCAAGUCACGGCGACCGCAUGCUUCUUAGAGGGACAAGCGGCUCUUAGCCGCGUGAAGCGAAGAGCAAUAACAGGUCUGUGAUGCCCUCAGAUGUUCGGGGCCGCACGCGCGCUACACUGCUUGCAUCAACGUGUGCCACCCUCGCCUGACGGCGCGGGCAAUCCGUUGAAACGCAAGCGUGCUAGGGAUCGGAGAUUGCAAUUGUUCUCCGUCAACGAGGAAUUCCUUGUACUCACGAGUCAUCAGCUCGCGGGGAAUCUGUCCCUGCCCUUUGUACACACCGCCCGUCGCUACUACCGAUUGAGUGGUUUAGUGAGGCUCACGGACCGCGCGCGGCACUCGGCGCUUUCGGGCGCUCGUCGCGAGUGGAAAGUGAUACGAACUUGAUCACUUCUAGGAAGUAAAAGUCGUAACAAGGUUUUCGUAGGUGAACCUGCGGAAGGUAC